ACGACCCAAGCCUAACCCGCAGUAUGCUUCACUGACAAAUGUUGAUGUUGAUGCUUCAUCAUCACAUAGACCAAAGGUUUCAGAGAAGGCUGGUAGAGCUCUCUAUGAGUGUGAGCUGUGGGAGAUAACCAAGAACUGACAACCACCUAAAGAAGAGGUGGCGAUAAUAGCUCUCCAAGAGGAGGUUGUGAGUCUGAAGGCUUUUAUUCAACAAGGAGGCACUUAGAGGGAAUGCCUGGACCCUGAGAGGACUAAGACGAUAAUUGAGGCCACCCUGAAGCAGUUCCCAGGCCAGACACUCACUCCAGAUUGCUGGGCCAGGCAAUAAAUGCCAAAGUGACAGAACUGAGGUUCCAUAACAAAAACAAAGAUUUUCAAUAAAAUAGAAUAAAAGAUAACAGAAGUGUUGUGUGUUUCUUCCUCUUUAUACUGAUACUAUGGUUGAUUUUAAGUAAACACAAUA